rnacentral:rRNA from 1 species
UACGUAGGUGGCAAGCGUUGUCCGGAUUUAUUGGGUUUAAAGGGUGCGUAGGCGGCUCCUUAAGUCAGUGCUGAAAUACUCUAGCUUAACUAGAGGGGUGGCAUUGAUACUGAGGAGCUUGAGUAGAGUCGAGGUAGGCGGAAUUGACGGUGUAGCGGUGAAAUGCUUAGAUAUCGUCAAGAACACCGAUAGUGUAGACAGCUUACUAGGCUUCAACUGACGCUGACGCACGAAAGUGUGGGGAUCAAACAGG